CGGGGAGUAGCGCAGCCUGGUUAGCGCGUCUGCUUUGGGAGCAGAAAGUCGAGAGUUCGAAUCUCUCCUCCCCGA
rnacentral:tRNA from 1 species